AAAAGUUCAAGAAAUGUUAGUCACAGCGAAAAACCUUUUCAAAGUCCGCUGUGAGAUUUUCCGAUUUUUCCCAGCUGCAGCCAAUAUUGCAGUCAACCUCUGAGAAUUGUGCUGUUCGUCAACAGAAACUGAAAAUGUACAAAAGAGAAUCCAUGUUGUUUAUUGUGUUGUCGGUGUUGUUGUUCUUGAUAAAUCCCGUCGACCUGACGACAGUACCAUCUACAAAGUGCACUCUGAAAGCCGACGCAUGCGCUAUAGAUAAAACAUGUUCUAUUGCAUGGUAUAACUGUCAAUGUUCACCCUACACAAUAAUCGAUUUCGAUGUGUUUUGUUUGACGUCCGGGCUGGCUUUAGGGAUGGUGCCUUCUUGCUGUGAGGAUUAACAACGGAAGCAAUCCAAAGAGCUGAAAGUAUGGCUUCCAAACGUUUCUCUCAAGUAUCAUUAUACAAUGAUUUCAAAAACAUCUUUCUUUUUUUGACCCUCUUAAAGAAGUGGGUAGAAUAGCUUCGAGCUUUUAUUUCCUGCCGUCUUAACAACAAUACGAUAUUGUAGUUGAUUCUAGUAAAAAUAAAAACAAAAUUGCUAAUGGU